rnacentral:rRNA from 1 species
UACGUAGGGUGCGAGCGUUGUCCGGAAUUAUUGGGCGUAAAGGGCUCGUAGGCGGUCUGUCGCGUCGGGAGUGAAAACUCAGGGCUUAACCCUGAGCCUGCUUCCGAUACGGGCAGACUAGAGGUAUGCAGGGGAGAACGGAAUUCCUGGUGUAGCGGUGAAAUGCGCAGAUAUCAGGAGGAACACCGGUGGCGAAGGCGGUUCUCUGGGCCGAUACUGACGCUGAGGAGCGAAAGCGUGGGGAGCGAACAGG